UUCGAACUCCGACUGGGAUGUUGGAUCAUUAUCGUACUUCUGUGAUAAAGCAUAUGUACAUGAUUCCUACAAAUAAAAAAGGAAAUGACAUUUAUAUUAAUUAAAUUGUUAAGUAACAUAUACAUAUAUAUAAUAAUAUAAUCCAAAUAAAUUGACUCAUUUUUAUUACUUACACUAACAGUUUUCGACUUGUUGUCCACAAACUCUUUGGCAUCUUUUUAUCGCUUGUGAGUGCAUUCGAAAACCUCAGAGAAUCUAGUUGGGCUUUGUAGCAUCUCGAACUGCAAUCAUAAUAAGAAAAAAAAAAAUACAUCAUAACCAAUAUGCAUGUUUCCGCAAUCUUCAACAACAUGUUUUCAAAUCGUAAAACAUUAACAACACAUAACACAAUCACAAGAAAAACAAACACAUGAUCAGAAAUAUGCAUGGCUUCGUAGUCAUCAACAACACAAUGACAACAACAAAGGGCUCACAUUAUCUUAAUACGAGUUAAGAACUUGUACCAUUUUCUUCUAAUGUAAUGCAAAAGGUAAAGAAUCCACUAUGUGCUUUACUAGCUACCAUCUUUCUCUAUCAGGCGAUUUUGUUAGGCUUUCUCGAAUCGACACUGCCACUCGGAUGUGGCCUAGACAUUAUCGACUAGCUAGUCUCAAACUUUUGCAGUGAUCCAGGGGCACGCUUUCCCCUUGGUUAAGAGGAUAUCAUGAUGAAUGCUUACAUCCCUCUUGGCUUUUUCAUGCUCAUCUGUUAACAAAUAUUUUCAACGAAAUUCCAACGAAAAUUUUUGUGAGUUUUUUCGACAGAUUUUCGUAAGAUUUUCAAUAGAAAUAUACCAACGGAAUAUUUUCAUUUGGAAAUCCGUUGGAGAUUUUUUUAGUGCAAAAA
rnacentral:lncRNA from 1 species